rnacentral:rRNA from 1 species
UUCGCAAUGCCCGAAAGGGUGACGGUGCGACGCCGCGUGGGUGACGAAGGCCUUCGGGUUGUAAAGCCCUGUCGAGGCGGGAAGAACCCCCCACAGGUGAAUAGCCUUUGGGGCUGACGGUACCACCAGAGGAAGCCACGGCUAACUCCGUGCCAGCAGCCGCGGUAAUACGGAGGUGGCAAGCGUUGUUCGGAUUUAUUGGGUGUAAAGGGCAUGUAGGUGUUCCAGUAAGUUCUGAUUGAAAUCCUUCGGCUCAACCGAGGAACGUGUCAGAAUACUGCUGGAAUUGAGCACGGGAGAGGAGAACGGAAUUCCCGGUGUAAGGGUGAAAUCUGUAGAUAUCGGGAGGAACACCUGUGGCGAAAGCGGUUCUCUGGUCCGUCACUGACACUGAAAUGCGAAAGCUAAGGGAGCAAACAGGAUUAGAUACCCUGGUAGUCUUAGCCGUAAACGAUGGGCACUAAGUAGAGGGGUUUUA